rnacentral:misc_RNA from 1 species
AUAAUAAUAAUAAUAAUAAUAUAUUAUGCUUAUUAGUAGACAAUUAGAUAUAUAUAAAAAAGAAGGAUGAUCACAUAAUAUGUCGAUCCAUGAUCUGCCAAACCUGUGAUAGAAAUUGUCGCAUGUACGAAGAUUGAAAAGGAAAGGUGGAUGGUAGAAGUUUGAUGGGCGCAAUUUUGCGACAAAUGGAAGUGGUAAAGCUAAUAAUAGAGUGGGCCUCAAAUCAUUUGAUUUGGAUAGGAUAUAUCCCUACAUAUAUAUGGCUUGAUGCUAUCAAUGGUUAGCAUUGCAAAAGCAAUUAUCUAUGGAAUUUAACCUAGUGAAAAUGACCUGGAACCUAACUAGAUGUGGGGUUUUAGAAAGAGUGACCAAAAGAAGUUUUUUAGCAAAGGCCACAAGAAGUUGGGUCAUUAGUGCUAUAAAAACAGAGAUAAAGUGGAAGUGGACAGCUAGGUUCGAUGAGAAUAUGACCUCAUGACAUAAACU